rnacentral:rRNA from 1 species
UACGUAGGUGGCAAGCGUUUAUCCGGAUUUAUUGGGCGUAAAGCGAGCGCAGGCGGUUGCUUAGGUCUGAUGUGAAAGCCUUCGGCUUAACCGAAGAAGUGCAUCGGAAACCGGGCAACUUGAGUGCAGAAGAGGACAGUGGAACUCCAUGUGUAGCGGUGGAAUGCGUAGAUAUAUGGAAGAACACCAGUGGCGAAGGCGGCUGUCUGGUCUGCAACUGACGCUGAGGCUCGAAAGCAUGGGUAGCGAACAGG